rnacentral:sRNA from 1 species
AGUCUGCAUGUUGUAUUUUUAGUCUUUGAAGAUAUGAAGUCAGGUAAGCAACAUCCUAACAUAGUCUGUUUCUUGACAUCUCUUACAAACGUAGAGUAUAGCCUAUCCUCAGGUGUGUGCUCAAGUUUAUAUUAGGGCUUUUGGGUACCUUAGAAUGUGGGUUAUUGCAAUCUUUAUUCAGGAUGUUAUCAGUCACUGGUACAGUUAGUCUUGUUAUUAAAAAAAGAAAAAAAAAACAGGUAGAAGUUGGAAUUAGCCUUCGUAGGAAGAAUUCCAGGCGCAAAUGCAGGAAAAACCCUGUUGUCCUUGGAAACUACUCUGGAGAGAGUUAUUGGCACUAUAAUUCCCAAACCUACCCUGUUAAAAGAUUCUGUGGAAAUGGGUUAACCUUUUUACCUUUUAAGAUAUUGAUCUUAAUGAUGUUUUACAGGCAGAUCCAGUUCCUAAUGGUUUGCGAGCUUUGCCAGUUUUCUAUGCCUGCACAGUUGGAAUAAAUCUCUUUUCCAUCAUGUAUACUGGAGCACCGUGGCUGAAAUCUCCUAGAAGGUGGCUGGCCUGCACCCAUUUCAGAAGGCUGCAGGCUAGUGUACGCUGAGUUAACCUAGAUAGUU